rnacentral:snoRNA from 1 species
AACCUCCAUAUUCCUUACCGUCGGAUCUAAAUAUUGGUCUGAAUGACUAACCAAAGGAGGAAAGGGAAAACUGAAAUGGAAUUGGGGUGUUUCCUUUAAAAAAAAUUAAUCCACAUGUUGCAGUG